CCAAAGGCUCUUUUCAGAGCCACCCA
rnacentral:ncRNA from 1 species